GUUUUUGACAAAAUGGUGUUAACAUUGUGGAGCAUUCGUUCCCGCUUUACCAAUAUUGAUACGAAGAAGCUCUAUGGUCCGUACAGUAUAAAUGGCCGUAAUAUGUGGAGAAAGUCACCAUGUCCAUUCACAUUGACCCCUCUUCAUCAUCACCAACACGUUGGAAACCUAAAGAAAAAGAGGAAGAGAUCACAGACUAAAGCACUUAGCCAGGGAAAAAGUUUGAGCGGAAAACAUCUCACUGUUACUUGCAGCAAAGGCUACAACUCUAGGAGUUGCAAGGGCCAAGGAGGACCAAGUGCAUUGAGUCAAGGAAAAAAGAAUGGAAAGGGCCUAGGAGGGGCAUGCUGCUUAGUUUCUAGUUUAUUUGUCUUAAUAUGUUUAAUUGUCAAACAAUGUGGCACUUUACUUCUUUUUGGAUUAAGACAUGAUGUUUUAACUCACUUCUAGUUGUUGACAUUAAUCUUUUGGUUUGUGAUAUGUUAACAGUGUAUAUUAUAUUUUGUGAAUGUUUAAAAUGUUUAUCAAUGUUAAUUUGGAUUGUUUAAAGUGUU